rnacentral:rRNA from 1 species
CGGACGGGUGAGUAACGCGUGAGGAACCUGCCUUUCAGUGGGGGACAACAGUUGGAAACGGCUGCUAAUACCGCAUAACGUACUGGUAUCGCAUGGUACUGGUACCAAAGAUUUAUCGCUGAGAGAUGGCCUCGCGUCUGAUUAGCUAGUUGGUAGGGUAACGGCCUACCAAGGCGACGAUCAGUAGCCGGACUGAGAGGUUGGCCGGCCACAUUGGGACUGAGAUACGGCCCAGACUCCUACGGAAGGCAGCAG